GUGGAUAGAGCGGCGGUUUCCUAAACCGCAGGCCACAGGUUCGAGUCCUGUUGGGCGCA
rnacentral:tRNA from 1 species